rnacentral:rRNA from 1 species
GACGAACGCUGGCGGCGUGCUUAACACAUGCAAGUCGAACGGAAAGGCCCUGCUUGCAGGGUACUCGAGUGGCGAACGGGUGAGUAACACGUGGGUGAUCUGCCCUGCACUUCGGGAUAAGCCUGGGAAACUGGGUCUAAUACCGGAUAGGAGCCAUUUUUAGUGUGGGUGUGGGAAAGUUUUUGGGGUAGGGUGAGCUCUCGGCCUAUCAGCUUGUUGGUGGGGUAAUGGCCUACCAAGGCGGCGACGGGUAGCCGGCCUGAGAGGGUGGACGGCCACAUUGGGACUGAGAGACGGCCCAGACUCCUACGGGAGGCAGCAGUGGGGAAUAUUGCACAAUGGGCGCAAGCCUGAUGCAGCGACGCCGCGUGGGGGAUGACGGCCUUCGGGUUGUAAACUCCUUUCGCUAGGGACGAAGCUUUUUGUGACGGUACCUAGAGAAGAAGCACCGGCUAACUACGUG